UACGUAGGUGGCAAGCGUUGUCCGGAAUUAUUGGGCGUAAAGCGCGCGCAGGCGGUCCUUUAAGUCUGAUGUGAAAGCCCACGGCUCAACCGUGGAGGGUCAUUGGAAACUGGGGGACUUGAGUACAGAAGAGAAGAGUGGAAUUCCACGUGUAGCGGUGAAAUGCGUAGAGAUGUGGAGGAACACCAGUGGCGAAGGCGACUCUUUGGUCUGUAACUGACGCUGGGGCGCGAAAGCGUGGGGAGCGAACAGG
rnacentral:rRNA from 1 species